rnacentral:rRNA from 1 species
CCUACGGGAGGCAGCAGUGGGGGAUAUUGCACAAUGGGGGGAACCCUGAUGCAGCGACGCCGCGUGGGUGAAGGAGCGUUUCGGCGCGUAAAGCUCUAUCAGCAGGGAAGAAAAUGACGGUACCUGAGUAAGAAGCCCCGGCGAACUACGUGCCAGCAGCCGCGGUACUACGUAGGGGGCAAGCGUUAUCCGGAUUUACUGGGUGUAAAGGGAGCGUAGACGGCAGUGCAAGUCUGGAGUGAAAGGCGGGGGCUCAACCCCCGGACUGCUCUGGAAACUGUAAGGCUGGAGUGCAGGAGAGGUAAGUGGAAUGCCUAGUGUAGCGGUGAAAUGCGUAGAUAUUAGGAGGAACACCAGUGGCGAAGGCGGCUUACUGGACUGUAACUGACGUUGAGGCUCGAAAGCGUGGGGAGCAAACAGGAUUAGAUACCCCUGUAGUC